CACAACCCACCUCAUAACGCUCUCCGAUUGCUUGUAGCCACUUGCAAUCGGCCUCCCGCGGCACCUGCCGCCCGGUUCGGCUCGAACUCGCACUCGACCACCAAACGGCCACCAAUCCGUAAUCUGGAAAUUUAGGUCUACAACUUGAUGCCACGAUACUCCGGAUCCGUUCUCGUGAUUUUUGAACGUCGCCUCAACCCUCUAGGCGGAAACGAAGCCAAAACGUCCGUUUCUUCAAUAUCUUCGCGUAGGCUCGACGAAUCGCUGAACCGAUUUUGCCAACGCGUUCGUAUACCUGGCAAUUAGAUUUACGUAGAGUUAAUUUAGAUCAAACCCAUCUACUAGCAAAAAUGCCAUUUUUGAAGCCCUAGGUGUCUACUAUUGCAAGAAUACCCAAAUUGGAACUUGAUUCAUGCAAUUUACAUUCAUUUAAUAUCCUAGGAUUCAAUUAAACCCAUUUCUAGAGCUUAAAAAUUCAACCCUAGAAAUCUACUAUUAAAGGGCAUCAAAGCUUACCUCUCAAGCUAGCUCCAAUGAAGAGGAAGAAGAUGAAGAAGAUGAAGAUCUACUUCCAAGCUUCAAUCUCCACCAAAUUCUUCUCUUGAUUCCACUUUCAAGAGAGAGAGAGAGAGAGAGAGAGAGAGAGAUCCUCCUUUGGUUGCAAGUGUGAGGGAGAGGGAGAGAAAUGUGCGCAUGUGUGCGCGUGCGGUUUAGCCAGCCACAAAAUAGGGCUGCGACAAUUGCACAAAACCCCUCUCACUAAUUACAACUUGCAGUUCGAAAUCUGUUUAACAGUUCGGAACAGUCGGAGCCCUUUUGGAUGUCCGUUUGCGCUUAAACUUGGCAGUCAGGCUUGGUUCAACCUACUGAGAAGAAAUAUAUCUUAACAUUUCAGUUUGGACCCUAUUUGGUCAUCGAAAGCUCUACCGAACGGUAAUCUCUAGCAGAUAGUAGUCGGAUUUUAUUUUUCAUCUUUCGAGUGUCAGAAUGACAUAAAACUUUAAAUCUGGUCUCAUAAAGAUAAUUCUAACAUAUUCUCCAGUUUUUAUAAUUUUCUGACACUGUGCAUUUUUUGCUAAAAUAUCAGCCCCGUCUCUCACAGAAAAUUCUAAAUCUUCUGUUUCCGUUCUGAUUUCAGCACAAGUCAUUUCUAACUUAUAUUUUACUUUACUAAAUCCAAUAAAAAUAGUAUCUCACACUAUUUUUAUUUAUUUUUACUUUUAUAUCAAAAUCCGGUAUGUUACAAAUGCGGUUUUAUCGUUGAUGCAUAUAAUGUAUGUUUGGUAGGUUGCAAAUGAUAAUAUGAUGCAUAAUAUAGAUGCUAGAUGAAUGCAUAAUAUAAUUUCUAGAUGAAUGCAUGAAUUAUAUUAUGUUGAAGGAUGUUG
rnacentral:lncRNA from 1 species